UACGUAGGGUGCAAGCGUUGUCCGGAAUUAUUGGGCGUAAAGAGCUCGUAGGCGGUUUGUCGCGUCGAAUGUGAAAACCCGGGGCUCGACCCCGGGCCUGCAUUCGAUACGGGCAGACUAGAGUUCGGUAGGGGAGUCUGGAAUUCCUGGUGUAGCGGUGAAAUGCGCAGAUAUCAGGAGGAACACCGGUGGCGAAGGCGGGACUCUGGGCCGAUACUGACGCUGAGGAGCGAAAGCGUGGGGAGCAAACAGGAUAGAU
rnacentral:rRNA from 1 species